GGGGCUGAACCGGCUGAGCUUCCCAGGGACGCCCCGACCCAAGCCCUGCAGUCCGCGCGCGUCAGGGGUGUGCGCUGGAGGCCGGAAAGUCGAAUAUCACUUCCCAUCCUGCAUUUGAUGUGCUUUGGGGUUGAAAAAGCCCUUAUGUGGUAAAAAAAAAAAAAAAAAAAAAGUCAGAAAAGUGGCAAAAGUCUUCAACGGCCUGAAAAAGGCCGAGACAGGAACUGAGAAGCUGGCAGUAGGUCCUGCUACUGCUGCAGGGGCGGCGGGCGCCCUGGGUGGGCCACGAGGCAGGGACAGCCGAGGCUCCGCGCUCACCCCACCCGCAAGGGGCCAAGCGCAGACUCAGGGGAGCCAGAGGGGCCGGACCGCUGAGCAAGGGCUGGGGAAGGGUGAGUCAGGGGCCCCUGUGGGACUGCACGGGGUGGGGGGCACGGGCCCGGACCUCUCUCACAAAUGCCCACGUGGUCCCCAAGGCUAACGCCGGCUGCGUGGGCCGCAAGCUGCUCUGGGCCCGCAGCUCACUCCCCUGGGCACAGGGCUGACACCCGGGCGAAGCAGGAGUGUCCCAGCUUGCUUCAGCCCCUCCCCUGGGCCCCCAGGCUGGUGGCUCCAGAAGGACUUUACUAAGAGGGUGGGAAGCAUCAGUGCAGGUACCUGCCCUGGGCUAAGGGCCUCGUGUGGGUGAUAGCCCUCAGCAGGGCCCUCCCAUUUGGGCAUUGGCAGCCCACAGGGCUGUGGCCGUGGAGCUGGAGUGGCAGCUCCUGGAUCACCCCACACCUGCGUUCCUCAAGGCCUAGGCACCACUUGCUCCAUGGUCAAAAGCAUCACUUUGUGAAACGCAGACUGAGCAAAGCUGGCCUAAGAUUUUGGUCCUCCAGGAAUGACGGAAGGAGCCCUCUGCCCCCAUGUAGCCUAUAGCUGGGACACGCAGCAGCCAGUGAGUUGGUCACGGUAUGAAGGCUUCUCUCCUCCCGGCAAUCACAGAUCCCACGCUUGGAUACUUGGGAGUGAAGAUGUGUUAUUUCACCCACCGACUCGUUCCACACGACCAAGGCCUGUGCCUGCCCUGAGGGCGAGUUGGUUGAGCCUUGUACAGACAACUCUCAGAGCGUGGGCCUGGGCCGAACCUUUCCCUGUGAGCAGCAGCAUCAGCGUCUAGAACGACGGCCCUCCCGGUCCACGGUGGAAGGUGCGGAGCUCCCGUGGUGUGCUGGCAGCGAUUCGCAGAAGGGAGAUGGAGGGCCACAGGGCAGGUGCUCGCACGGAGUCAUCGAGGUCCAGGGACACCUUCCUCCCAGGUGAGCUCACAAAGGCACCACACAUUAAUCCUGGGAGACAACCAUUCUGAUGUGGCUAAGGCCAUCGACAGGGAACAUGAUUGUCAGGAAACCUCAACUUUUCGAUAAAUGACAGCAAAACCUGAAUGCAGGAGAAAUGUAUCUCAUUUUAAUGCCUGACUUCUAAGCAUCCUUAUUCAACAUAUUAUAUGUAUUUUUUGUUUCAUGAGUAAAAUGUACAUUGAGCUUCCUCCAGUAGCUGUCCAUAGACCAGCCACUAUCACUGCCAUCAUUAUUUUGUUUCUAAACUUUUCUUUUUACACAUGUAGGUCUAGCUUUUUCCUCCAUAUUGAUGAACUAAAACUCACUCAUUUCACAACUCAAAGCCAGGGCCUUCAGUUCACAGCCCGUUGCCUCAGACGGCCUUUCCUAUAUCUUAUUGCUUCACUGUCUGACUCACUCCAGCGUGUUUCAGCCAAGUAUACUUGUUUUUAUUCAUCUUGCUCUCUUUUCCUCCCUCCCCCAACUCCCCCUCUUUCCCUCUGUCUCUUUGUCUCUUUCUCUCUCCCCCAUCCCUCCCUCUCUUCCCCUUUCUCUCUGGAUGCCCUCUCUCCCUCUCUCCCUCCCUCUCUUCCCCUUUCUCUCUGGAUGCCCUCUCUCCCUCUCUCCCUCCCUCUCUUCCCCUUUCUCUCUGGAUGCCCUCUCUCCCUCUCUCCCUGUUUUUCUUCUCUGUGUCUGCCUGCAUAAUAUUCAGAAAUCCCAACAAGAGCAGCUGGAGCUGCUAAAGAAACCCCAGCGUUCUGUGCUGCUGCCAUUGCCUCCUCCAACUGGUGAGCCCGAUCGGCCCAUUUUUAGGCAGUGCUGUGGUUGGAAAUGGGCCCUUCCUCUGGGGUCCGCUACUUCCCUCCACCUGACUCAGAAGAAUGAGUCAAGAGGGAAGAACAGCUCGUAUUAGGGAGAGGGUCCCGUGUGCUGUUGCCUUUUUCGGAAUCAUUUCAAUCAUGUUUGCCAAAUUCCCUACGAAGUUCUGUUCCCUCGUUUGACAAUGAGCAGAGGCAGGAGAGAUGAAUUGCUAAAUGGUUGUAUCCCACACCGUGCUGGGAGGCUCAGCAGAACAGAGACCUGUGUCAAGCAGGGCUUCCUUCUCCACCAGGCCCUUCAGCCUGCAUUUUAACCUGUGACUUGCGAGGAGAUAGCCCGUGAUCACACCACAGGCCUACUUACAUGACAGGAAGCAAAAUGCCAAUUCCUUCUACCCCUUUCCCCC
rnacentral:lncRNA from 1 species